GUGUUCUUCAGGUAUAUCAGGUCAUUAGACUGUGUUCUUCAUGUAUAUCAGGUAUAUCAGGUCAUUAGACUGUGUUCUUCAUGUAUAUCAGGUAUAUCAGGUCAUUAGACUGUGUUCUUCAGGUAUAUCAGGUCAUUAGACUGUGUUCUUCAGGUAUAUCAGGUCAUUAGACUGUGUUCUUCAUGUAUAUCAGGUAUAUCAGGUCAUUAGACUGUGUUCUUCAUGUAUAUCAGGUCAUUAGACUGUGUUCUUCAGGUAUAUCAGGUCAUUAGACUGU